rnacentral:rRNA from 1 species
GAUGAACGCUGGCGGCGUGCCUAAUACAUGCAAGUCGAGCGAACGGACGAGAAGCUUGCUUCUCUGAUGUUAGCGGCGGACGGGUGAGUAACACGUGGAUAACCUACCUAUAAGACUGGGAUAACUUCGGGAAACCGGAGCUAAUACCGGAUAAUAUUUUGAACCGCAUGGUUCAAAAGUAAAAGACGGUCUUGCUGUCACUUAUAGAUGGAUCCGCGCUGCAUUAGCUAGUUGGUAAGGUAACGGCUUACCAAGGCAACGAUGCAUAGCCGACCUGAGAGGGUGAUCGGCCACACUGGAACUGAGACACGGUCCAGACUCCUACGGGAGGCAGCAGUAGGGAAUCUUCCGCAAUGGGCGAAAGCCUGACGGAGCAACGCCGCGUGAGUGAUGAAGGUCUUCGGAUCGUAAAACUCUGUUAUUAGGGAAGAACAUAUGUGUAAGUAUCUGUGCACAUCUUGACGGUACCUAAUCAGAAAGCCACGGCUAACUACGUG